AUGAAAGUGGAGUGGGACGGCGA
rnacentral:siRNA from 1 species